rnacentral:sRNA from 18 species
GUCAACUACCCCGCCCUAAAGGGCGGAGCUUGCCCGCCUGCCGCGACGCACCUGCCUGCGCCGCGUGCGUCGCGGCAGGCAGGCGCGGCGCAGACAGGUGAAAGCAAGCUAGGUUGACCAGCCUAAGCCCUGUUAAAGGGGCUACGUGUACAACAGGUCGUUAAGACUCACCGGCGGAUGCUUCCUCAGUCUGCCGCUCUGAA